GGUCGACGCCAAAAUCUCCUCAUCCAGCGUUGCCCGCCCACCCCUGCCAUCUCGCCGAAAUUAGAUCCGGCGGCUGCCGAGCCAGUAGAACAGCUGGGAGCAGGACACAAUGCGCGUGAUUCCUGUCCGUGGACGCCAUGGAGAAGGCCGAUUCAGGCCUCCCCAUGGACUGCGCGCCCCUGUGCCACCUUCCUCUUCGACGAGCUCCUCCAGUUCAAACCCCAGCGACCCUGUCUGGUUUGAAUGCGGCCGCUCCGUCCUCUCUGCCGGCCACGGAUGCCUCGGUCCGCGCGCGCUGCUCUGUCUCCUCUGCUACGACGGCAUCACGAUUGAAAGUUCCUAAGGAGAAGGUCCGCGAGGCUGCGGGUGAUGUGGAUUCCAGAACUUGCUAAUUUUCCCCAUAGAAUCAUCUCUCUCCAUGAGGCCUGAAUAGGGGAAGCUUAUUAUUCAGGGAAAUUUGAUUAAAUCAAUCAUCCCUCACAGGCAUUGGUGAGUCAUCUUAUUGCUGAGGAUGUAUCUCUGGAAGUUAAAUGCGAUCCAAAGUUUGCACUAUGCAAUGUUACCAGCUGCUGAGACACACAACAUAAUUUCAGGGGAACUGCCUUCUGUGUGGGACAGUACUCUUCCGAUGUAUUCUCCCGGUAGUUUUUCUAUUGCUUCUAGGACCUGAUCUCGACAGUAUUGAAUGUUUUUGCUAAAGUAACACCAGGAUUUAUUGAAGGUAUUAUUGAUCUUGCAACUGCAAAUACAGCAUUGCACACUAUAUAUCCUGGAGUUUUUCAAGCAGCUUAAAUAAUGCUUACAUAAUCUGUUUGUUUGUUCUAGAUCAGCUUAAUAAUGUAUAAAUAGUUUUGUCAAUCCCGUUGCAAUUCAUGUAAAAUGUUAUACAUGGGAAAUCAAAUGGCAAUAAACCAUCAGAUGUUUUCUUUUUUUCA